GACCCUGUAACACGUGGAUAGUGCAUUGGACUUUUAAUUCAAAGAUCGUGGGUUCAAAUCUCACCUGGGAUGGCCU